rnacentral:piRNA from 1 species
UGCAAUUGUCUCCCGUGUUUGUAUCGUAU